GGCUUCAAGAUGGUUGUCUGAACUGUUUAUUGAGACUUUCCCCACCUUUCUCCAUCCCUCUGGUGUUUUUUAUUAACCUGGACAUAAUGCAUUAAAGGGCCCAAUGGAAACAGAACUGAAGGAGUUCUAAAAUGGAGUUCUAAAGUGAAGGAUGCACACAGCAUCCAUGGCACCAACCCUCAGUAUUUGGUGGAGAAGAUCAUUCGAACAUAAAUCUAUGAGUCCAAGUACUGGAAAGAGGAGUGCUUUGGACGUAUGGCUGAACUUGUAGUGGAUAAAGCCACGGAGUUAAGGUUUGUGGGUGGCGUGCAUGGUGGCAACAUAAAACCAACUCCCUUUCAGUGUUUAACCUUGAAGAUGCUUCAAAUUCAGUCUGAGAAGGAUAUCAUUGUAGAGUUCAUAAAAAAUGAAGAUUUCAAGUAUGUCCGCAUGUUGGGGGCACUUUACAUGAGGCUGACAGGCACUACAAUUGAUUGCUAUAAGUACUUGGAGCCUUUGUACAACGACUAUCAAAAAAUCAAGAGCCAGACCGAAGUGGAGAGUUCGAACUGAUGCAUGUGGAUGAGUUUAUUGAUGAACUACUGCACAGUGAGAGAGUCUGUGACAUCAUUCUGCCUCGACUACAGAAACGCUAUGUGCUGGAGGAAGCUGAGCAACUGGAGCCUCGGGUUAGUGCUCCAGAAGAAGACAUGGAUGAUGUGGAGUCCAGUGAAGAGGAAGAGGAGGAAGAUGAGAAGUUGGAGAGAGUGCCAUCACCUGAUCACCACCGGAGAAGUUACCGAGACUUGGACAAGCCCCGUCGCUCUCCCACCCUGCGCUAUAGGAGGAGCAGAAGUCGGUUUCCCAGAAGGUGGAGUCGAUCUCCCAAAAGGAGAAGCCCUUCCUCACGCCGAGAAAGGCACGGGAGCAAGGGUCCAAGACAUCACCGCAGCAGGUCCCGAGAUCAAUGGCACAGAUCCCGUUCCGAGUCCCUGUCUCCUGAAAGGUCUAAGAAAAGCCAGCCACAAAAAGAGCCGGAGAGGGAAUGA